AGAGUUUGAUCCUGGCUCAGGAUGAACGCUGGCGGCGUGCUUAACACAUGCAAGUCGAACGAAGCACUUUAUUUGAUUUCCUUCGGGACUGAUUAUUUUGUGACUGAGUGGCGGACGGGUGAGUAACGCGUGGGUAACCUGCCUUGUACAGGGGGAUAACAGUUGGAAACGGCUGCUAAUACCGCAUAAGCGCACAGCAUCGCAUGAUGCAGUGUGAAAAACUCCGGUGGUAUAAGAUGGACCCGCGUUGGAUUAGCUAGUUGGUGAGGUAACGGCCCACCAAGGCGACGAUCCAUAGCCGACCUGAGAGGGUGACCGGCCACAUUGGGACUGAGACACGGCCCAAACUCCUACGGGAGGCAGCAGUGGGGAAUAUUGCACAAUGGGGGAAACCCUGAUGCAGCGACGCCGCGUGAGCGAAGAAGUAUUUCGGUAUGUAAAGCUCUAUCAGCAGGGAAGAUAAUGACGGUACCUGACUAAGAAGCACCGGCUAAAUACGUGCCAGCAGCCGCGGUAAUACGUAUGGUGCAAGCGUUAUCCGGAUUUACUGGGUGUAAAGGGAGCGCAGGCGGUGCGGCAAGUCUGAUGUGAAAGCCCGGGGCUCAACCCCGGUACUGCAUUGGAAACUGUCGUACUAGAGUGUCGGAGGGGUAAGCGGAAUUCCUAGUGUAGCGGUGAAAUGCGUAGAUAUUAGGAGGAACACCAGUGGCGAAGGCGGCUUACUGGACGAUAACUGACGCUGAGGCUCGAAAGCGUGGGGAGCAAACAGGAUUAGAUACCCUGGUAGUCCACGCC
rnacentral:rRNA from 1 species